CAUGAACACAUUAUAAUUUAAAUUACUUCUAUUUAUUGAACUUUUUCUUAAAUAAGGUUUAGAGUCAAAGCACAAAAACGGUAUCAGAAUGUUGCCCAUCCUGCUCGUUUUCGGAUUAGCGAUGACAAUUCAAUCAAAUGUUUACCUUGCUCAAUUUUUGACAUGGUAACUACUCAUUUGUGCAUUGUGAACGCGCAUCUAUCGAUUACUCGUGUCGAGAUGCGCAGAGCUGCAUUUUGGCGGAAAAUUCAAAUUUCAAUUUAGCUGCCAGCCAAUUGCAGCGCCGUGGAAAUCUUUGGGUUUUUUCUAACAUAAAUUCAAAUAAGACAAUAAUGAUUUUCCUUGAACACAUUCAUAUCUCCUUUAUUUCACAAUUCGGCUCCGUGCUUCUUGUUCGUUUGCUCAUGCCAUUGAUAAAAUCCUACUUUUAGUAAAUAUUUAUAAUAAAUAUUAAGUGGCAAUACAAAAAUUAACUGCGUUUACAUUAAGGAAAUUGAUUUUCGAAUACAAAAUACACUUGAAAAGAAAUAGGUUCUCAGUACAUGCCACAUAAAAUAGCAAAAUUAUGGGCACACAACUACAACGCUUCAGCACCGCAUACGCCCACGAACUGUUUCUCGCCAGAAUCGCCCGCACUCGCAUCACCCACACCACAGAGAUUGAUGUUGGGCUGGUGGACAGAGGAGGUACGUUUAGCCUGCCGCUUUGACGAUGGAUGAUGGUGGUCCAAUCCAAGAACUUCGGUGGAGAGAGAGAGAGACUUGAAGCGGACGUGGACCUCGUCCACCCUGGAUGUGAGGAGAGUCAAGUGCGACCGGACUCCUGGUGGGGCCUCGUCCGUGUGCGUGUGGGGUGUGGGGCUGGCGGAGACGGAGUCUGAAGCUGGCUUCAAUUAAAAUCUAAUUUCAAUUUAUACAGAUUCAGAUACAGAUUAAGCUGUUCGUUAUACAUUUCGUUACAAUCUUGAUCGUGAAUGUGUUGUUCUCUAGUCUUCGAUUGGAUCCGAUCGAUCUCUAUAAUGCAUUAUGUUCUCGCAGUGAUGUGUUCUUCCAGAAUUGUUUAUUAGCGCUCCGCUCCGCUCUGCUGAUAUCGUUUUAAACUUAACUCAAAGUGUGUUCUUUGUUCUUCUCCUUAGGCGAUUACUACGUUUCGGGUGUUUCGGAUGUUUUUUAAAAACAAAAUUACAUAUAUUAUGUGGUUGUGGUUGUUAUUUUAUAAUUAGAUAGUUGUACAGGAUGUUCUUGUUGCUAUCAAUCAAUCAAUCAAUCAUUUUUAUCAUUAAUAAUCGAAAAACGAACGAUGGUGUUGUUGUUGGUUGGUUGGUUGUUGGUUACUUCCCCUCUGCCGCCGCUCGGAUGCCCGCGUCUGCCCUCAGCCGAGCGCACACACACACACAC
rnacentral:sRNA from 1 species